AACUUUCGGCAAUGGAUCUCUUGGUUCUGGCAUCGAUGAAGAACGCAGCGAAAUGCGAUAAGUAAUGUGAAUUGCAGCGUUCAGUGAAUCAUCGAAUCUUUGAACGCACAUUGCGCCCGUCAGUAUUCUGACGGGCAUGCCUGUCCGAGCGUCAUUUCAACCCUCAAGCACCGCUUGGCGUUGGCGGAUUGCGUGCCCUUGCGGCGCUGCAACCGCCCAAAUACAGUGGCGGUCCCGCUGCGGCUCCCUUUGCGUAGUAACUCACCUCGCACUGGACCGGGCGGCGGCCUGCCGUAAAACCCCAACUUACGAAAUGUUGACCUCGGAUCAGGUAGGAAUACCCGCUGAACUUAAGCAUAUCAAUAAGCGGAGGCU
rnacentral:misc_RNA from 1 species